UACGUAGGGGGCUAGCGUUGUCCGGAAUCAUUGGGCGUAAAGAGCGUGUAGGCGGUCCGGUAAGUCCGCUGUGAAAGUCGGGGGCUCAACCCUCGAAUGCCGGUGGAUACUGUCGCGCUAGAGUGCGGAAGAGGCGAGUAGAAUUCCUGGUGUAGCGGUGAAAUGCGCAGAUAUCAGGAGGAACACCUAUUGCGAAGGCAGCUCGCUGGGACGUAACUGACGCUGAGACGCGAAAGCGUGGGGAGCAAACAGG
rnacentral:rRNA from 1 species